CCUACGGGGGGCAGCAGUGAGGAAUAUUGGUCAAUGGGCGCGAGCCUGAACCAGCAAAGUAGCGUGAAGGAUGACGGCCCUACGGGUUGUAAACUUCUUUUAUAAAGGAAUAAAGUGAGGCACGUGUGCCUUUUUGUAUGUACGUUAUGAAUAAGGAUGGGCUAACUCCGUGCCAGCAUCCGCGGUAAUACGGAGGAUCCGAGCGUUAUCCGGAUUUAUUGGGUUGAAAGGGAGCGUAGAUGGGUUGUUAAGUCAGUUGUGACAGUUUGCGGCUCAACCGUAAAAUUGCAAUUGAUACUGGCAGCCUUGAGUACAGUUGAGGUAGGCGGAAUUCGUUGUGUAGCGGUGAAAUGCUUCGAUAUCACG
rnacentral:rRNA from 1 species